CCUACGGGAGGCUGCAGUGGGGGAUAUUGCACAAUGGGGGGAACCCUGAUGCAGCGACGCCGCGUGGGUGAAGAAGCGCCUCGGCGCGUAAAGCCCUGUCAGCAGGGAAGAAAAUGACGGUACCUGAAGAAGAAGCCCCGGCUAACUACGUGCCAGCAGCCGCGGUAAUACGUAGGGGGCAAGCGUUAUCCGGAUUUACUGGGUGGAAAGGGGGCGCAGACGGCGAUGCAAGCCAGGAGUGAAAGCCCGGGGACCAACCCCGGGAGUGCACUGGAAACCGCGGGGCUGGAGGGCAGGAGGGGCAGGCGGAAUUCCGGGUGUAGCGGUGAAAUGAGUAGAUAUCAGGAGGAACACCGGUGGCGAAGGCGGCCUGCUGGACUGCAACUGACGUUGAGGCCCGAAAGCGUGGGGAGCAAACAGGAUUAGAUACCCUGGUAGUC
rnacentral:rRNA from 1 species